CGUUAUGGCGGCUGUGCGUGGGCAGACUUCGGUCUGGCCGGGUGCCUACUUACCGGUUUUCCACCCUGCGUACAGCUGCCACCUUU
rnacentral:antisense_RNA from 1 species